rnacentral:rRNA from 1 species
UCGACCUGAGCCUGUCAAGC